GAGAAAUAUGGAUUCCCUAUCAUGUCUUUUGUUCUUUCUCUAGAUUGGUUUACUUUUAUUUUAAGUGCAUUCCUGUUUGGCCCGUGGAUGCGUGCAGGCGCCCCUUACUGCAAUUCUCAAGGGGGACGCCCUUACAGAGAGGCAGGCUCCAGACUCCUGAGUAUUAAGUCCUUAACUGAGAAGUCUGCUUCUGUGCUCAUCUUCUUCGUUGUGAGAGCUCUACCGGGCAGAGGAUGUCAGUAUUUGUCUAGUCAUGUCGAAGAAGAAGAAGAAGAAGAAGAAGAAGAAGAAGAAGAAGAAGAAGAAGAAGAAGAAGAAGAAGAAGAAGAAGAAGAAGAAGAAGAAGAAGAAGAAGAAGAAGACGACACGUGCUCUAUGUGCUUUCUGCCUUGGCUGUCCCAGGAAAAACUCUAGACCAAGCUGACAUCAAACUCAGAGAUCUGCUGCCUCUGCCUUCCAAAGGAUGGGAUUAAAGAAGUGUGUAAUUCCAGUGCUAAGAAGAUUUUUAGAUCCUUUUCCAACAGCCUACAAAUAGGAAUUACAUAACAGGACAUGUUUUCAAAGCCAUACAUUCCUAAAAGCCGCAGGAGACCGAUUGACCGAGUGUUCUUUCUCAUUGUGGACGAUGUACUUGAAGGUGUCUAGCCUAAGCUUAGAUGUCCUUCUCUCUGAGGGCAGAUGCGCUGGUUUGUUGUCUUCUGAGCAGCUUCCGCACAUGGAUGUGGUAGUUGUUCUUAGAGUCCAUGUUUUCACAAACAGCCAGAAGCCAAUCCAAUCUCAGCUACACCAUUGGCUGAAUGCUGUAGAGCACUCAAAAAAAGUGAACGUUUCACGGUUCACUGUCACAGGACCCUCGCAAGGUAUGCACCUGUUAGAAGCUAGAAAAUGAAAAUGAAAAUACCAAUGGCAUUGUCUUAGGAAGGAGCUGUCUGGAUGGAUCUGUUUCUCAUCGGAAGUGGUAGUUAGGGGUUGACAGCAACUGAACUGUUCCAUUGUGGUUCAAGGACUAGUGACUUGCCUAUCACAGGACAGCAAUCUUAAACAUAUAGAAUCUUUUGAAGAGAUGGCCUGGCUACACUGGAGACAAGGAGAUCACGGGUGGAUUGCCAAAGGAUGCUUCUUUGAGGAAUACUGAGUCUAAUUCAUCUCAAGCCAAGGUACAACUUUUCUCCCUACCCUGACUGAUGACAUGCAAGGCAGGAGGCUGCCAUGUCGCUCCUUUUCUGUCAUGAUAGUUGUGGCUAACUGUGUGUACAGGAAAUAAAGAUUAACAAAAGAAAGUC
ensembl:lincRNA Gm42649 predicted gene 42649